UGGGGAAUAUUGCACAAUGGGCGCAAGCCUGAUGCAGCCAUGCCGCGUGUGUGAAGAAGGCCUUCGGGUUGUAAAGCACUUUCAGCGGGGAGGAAGGCGUUAAGGUUAAUAACCUUGGCGAUUGACGUUACCCGCAGAAGAAGCACCGGCUAACUCCGUGCCAGCAGCCGCGGUAAUACGGAGGGUGCAAGCGUUAAUCGGAAUUACUGGGCGUAAAGCGCACGCAGGCGGUCUGUCAAGUCGGAUGUGAAAUCCCCGGGCUCAACCUGGGAACUGCAUUCGAAACUGGCAGGCUAGAGUCUUGUAGAGGGGGGUAGAAUUCCAGGUGUAGCGGUGAAAUGCGUAGAGAUCUGGAGGAAUACCGGUGGCGAAGGCGGCGCCCUGGACAAAGACUGACGCUCAGGUGCGAAAGCGUGGGGAGCAAACAGG
rnacentral:rRNA from 1 species